GACGAACGCUGGCGGCGUGCUUAACACAUGCAAGUCGAACGGAAAGGCCCUGCUUUUGUGGGGUGCUCGAGUGGCGAACGGGUGAGUAACACGUGAGUAACCUGCCCUUGACUUUGGGAUAACUUCAGGAAACUGGGGCUAAUACCGGAUAGGAGCUCCUGCUGCAUGGUGGGGGUUGGAAAGUUUCGGCGGUUGGGGAUGGACUCGCGGCUUAUCAGCUUGUUGGUGGGGUAGUGGCUUACCAAGGCUUUGACGGGUAGCCGGCCUGAGAGGGUGACCGGCCACAUUGGAACUGAGAUACGGCCCAGACUCCUACGGGAGGCAGCAGUGGGGAAUAUUGCACAAUGGGCGGAAGCCUGAGGCAGCAACGCCGCGUGCGGGAUGACGGCCUUCGGGUUGUAAACCGCUUUCGCCUGUGACGAAGCGUGAGUGACGGUAAUGGGUAAAGAAGCACCGGCUAACUACGUG
rnacentral:rRNA from 1 species